GGAGGGUGCAAGCGUUGUCCGGAAUCACUGGGUGUAAAGGGUGUGUAGGCGGGGCGGCAAGUCAGAGGUGAAAUCCUACAGCUCAACUGUAGAACUGCCUCUGAUACUGCUGUUCUUGAGUUUCGGAGAGGUCACUAGAAUUCGUGGUGUAGCGGUGAAAUGCGCAGAUAUCACGAGGAAUACCAGAGGCGUAGGCGGGUGACUGGACGAAUACUGACGCUGAGGCACGAAAGCGUGGGGAGCAAACAGGAUUAGAUACCCUGGUAGUCCCACGCCCGUAAACGAUGGAUGCUCGGUGUCGCGCCUUUUUUUGGCGCGUUGCCCAAGCUAACGCGUUAAGCAUCCCACCUGGGGAGUACGCUCGCAAGAGUG
rnacentral:rRNA from 1 species